rnacentral:rRNA from 1 species
AAUAGAUACCCCGGUAGUCCACCCCGUAAACGUUGGGAACUAGUUGUGGGGGCCUUUCCACGGUCUCCGUGACGCAGCUAACGCAUUAAGUUCCCCGCCUGGGGAGUACGGCCGCAAGGCUAAAACUCAAAGGAAUUGACGGGGACCCGCACAAGCGGCGGAGCAUGCGGAUUAAUUCGAUGCAACGCGAAGAACCUUACCAAGGCUUGACAUACACCGGAAAAGGCUGGAAACAGUCUCCCCCUUGUGGUCGGUGUACAGGUGGUGCAUGGUUGUCGUCAGCUCGUGUCGUGAGAUGUUGGGUUAAGUCCCGCAACGAGCGCAACCCUCGUUCUAUGUUGCCAGCACGUUAUGGUGGGAACUCAUGGGAUACUGCCGGGGUCAACUCGGAGGAAGGUGGGGAUGACGUCAAAUCAUCAUGCCCCUUAUGUCUUGGGCUUCACGCAUGCUACAAUGGCCGGUACAAAGGGCGGCGAUACCGUAAGGUGGAGCGAAUCCCAAAAGCCGGUCCCAGUUCGGAUUGAGGUCUGCAACUCGACCUCAUGAAGUCGGAGUCGC